rnacentral:rRNA from 1 species
CCUACGGGGGGCAGCAGUGAGGAAUAUUGGUCAAUGGGCGCAAGCCUGAACCAGCCAAGUCGCGUGAGGGAAGACGGCCCUACGGGUUGUAAACCUCUUUUGCCGGGGAGCAAGCCUGAGCACAUGUGCCCAGGCGGAGAGUACCCGGAGACAAAGCAUCGGCUAACUCCGUGCCAGCAGCCGCGGUAAUACGGGGGAUGCGAGGGUUUUCCGGUUUUUUUGGGUUGAAGGGGUGCGAGGGCGGGCUGUUAAGCCGGCGGUAAAAAUUCAGGGCUCAACCCUGGCGUGCCGUCGGAACUGGCAGUCUUGAGUGGGCGAGAAGUAUGCGGAAUGCGUGGUGUAGCGGUGAAAUGCAUAGAUAUCACGCAGAACGCCGAUUGCGAAGGCAGCAUACCGGCGCCCAACUGACGCUGAGGCACGAAAGCGUGGGGAUCGAACAGGAUUAGAUACCCGGGUAGUC